rnacentral:rRNA from 1 species
GAUGAACGCUAGCUACAGGCUUAACACAUGCAAGUCGAGGGGAAACGAUAGAGAAAGCUUGCUUUUUCUAGGCGUCGACCGGCGCACGGGUGAGUAACGCGUAUCCAACCUGCCCAUCACUUGGGGAUAACCUUGCGAAAGUAAGACUAAUACCCAAUGAUAUCUCUAGAAGACAUCUGAAGGAGAUUAAAGAUUUAUCGGUGAAGGAUGGGGAUGCGUCUGAUUAGCUUGUUGGCGGGGUAACGGCCCACCAAGGCGACGAUCAGUAGGGGUUCUGAGAGGAAGGUCCCCCACAUUGGAACUGAGACACGGUCCAAACUCCUACGGGAGGCAGCAGUGAGGAAUAUUGGUCAAUGGACGAGAGUCUGAACCAGCCAAGUAGCGUGCAGGAUGACGGCCCUAUGGGUUGUAAACUGCUUUUAUAAGGGAAUAAAGUGAGUCUCGUGAGACUUUUUGCAUGUACCUUAUGAAUAAGGACCGGCUAAUUCCGUGCCAGCAGCCGCAGUAA